UACGUAGGGACCAAGCGUUGUUCGGAUUUACUGGGCGUAAAGGGCGCGUAGGCGGCGCGGUAAGUCACUUGUGAAAUCUCUGAGCUUAACUCAGAACGGCCAAGUGAUACUGCAGUGCUAGAGUGUGGAAGGGGCAAUCGGAAUUCUUGGUGUAGCGGUGAAAUGCGUAGAUAUCAAGAGGAACACCGGUGGCGAAGGCGGAUCUCUGGGCCAUUACUGACGCUGAGGAGCGAAAGCGUGGGGAGCGAACAGG
rnacentral:rRNA from 1 species